GGGGAUCGGAUGAAGGGACUGGGAGCAGGCAGUCGCCUUCUGGGUUGUCGGCAGAGGGGCAAAACGGGAAGAGGAGGGGCAUCUCGCGGAGGAGAACGCCAUCACUGAUCACAAGAGAGGUGCCGUGUUGGGCGAGGAAGGGAUUUGAAGGUCGGGGGUUUGGUGCAUCGAGAGCAUCGAUGGGCCCUUGAGAUUGCCGAAGGGCUGUUUUU
rnacentral:misc_RNA from 1 species